rnacentral:rRNA from 1 species
GAUGAACGCUGGCGGCGUGCCUAAUACAUGCAAGUCGAGCGAACGGACGAGGAGCUUGCUCCUCUGACGUUAGCGGCGGACGGGUGAGUAACACGUGGAUAACCUACCUAUAAGACUGGGAUAACUUCGGGAAACCGGAGCUAAUACCGGAUAAUAUAUUGAACCGCAUGGUUCAAUAGUGAAAGACGGUUUUGCUGUCACUUAUAGAUGGAUCCGCGCCGCAUUAGCUAGUUGGUAAGGUAACGGCUUACCAAGGCAACGAUGCGUAGCCGACCUGAGAGGGUGAUCGGCCACACUGGAAAUGAGACACGGUCCAGACUCCUACGGGAGGCAGCAGUAGGGAAUCUUCCGCAAUGGGCGAAAGCUUGACGGAGCAACGCCGCGUGAGUGAUGAAGGUCUUCGGAUCGUAAAACUCUGUUAUUAGGGAAGAACAAAUGUGUAAGUAACUAUGCACGUCUUGACGGUACCUAAUCAGAAAGCCACGGCUAACUACGUG